CUGGGGGCCUACCGGCUAAUUCGCCGAACUUCGGCGACUUGAAAACGAUUCAGAUAAAUCGAAGUUCGGCGUUUGGUACCGGGUAAUUUCCGAUGUUCAUUGCAAUCUGGAUGAAAAUCAAUCCAUAGAUAAUAAUAGACAUAUUAGAGGGGUGCAUGAUUGAACGAAUGACUUUUGGUCUUGCGUUCCGUUGAGACAUUUGGUAAACAUUUAAUAUUUUAUAUCAUUAUGAAAUUAAAAAAUACAGACUAAUUUUGUAUGUUAUUUUUAUUAAUUGAUAAUAUUUUUAGUUAAUCACUUUGUAAAGUCUUACAAAUGUUUAAAACAAAAGGAAAAUGCAACGACGGAUUUUUCUUUUGCAACUGAAGUAAUGAAACGCAAAAAAAAAGAAAAAUGACGUUAUGUUAUAUCAGCUGACAUACUUGAAUUCGCGCCGAAUGCAACAGUUUUAUCUUCUCAGAAUUUAUACAAUAACAACAAUAACGAAAGAAAUAUCACCGAUUUACUACCUACUAGAUCUAGAGAGUCGGAGGCUAGACAUGGAGGAGCGACUUGUUUCAGCAGUUAACAAGCUGGCUGGCUACAGCUGCUGAAGCUAAAAGCAAGGCCGCAGAUAUGCAAACAGAGUUGCUUCGGCUGCUGCUGGAGGAAGCUAGGUGAAGACCAAUAUAAGGUUAAAGAAUAGCAGCAUGACGAUUCUCAAGAACGAAGACACUAGAGAAACUAAGUUAAAAUACUUAAGUAAAAACAUAUGUAUUCAAUAAACUUGUAUGUAAAUAUUUAAGCUAAAGUAUAAGUACUCCAUUUAUG
rnacentral:lncRNA from 1 species